AAGAUUGACAUCUAGCAAUAUACCAUGACUAUCUAGAAGAUUUAAAAUUUAAUAAAAAUAUCAAAAUUAUCUUUCCAUGGUGAGUUAUUAUGCAAUUUAAUCCUUCAAUCAUAUAGCAUCCUGAAAAGGCCAUGGAUAUGAAAAUAUGUCAAACCCAAAUAUUUAUCCUUAUAUAUCUCGAUCUGAUGAUGGUGACUCAAUGAAUGAACUAGUAAAAACUAUUUCUAUUGUUCAUCCCUACUCUGGCCAGAGACUCUCACAGUCAUCAUCUUAUGAAAUCACAUAGGAUGUUCUCUCCUCCUACAAGGAGUGACCGAUUCCUUAUGAUCACUCACAACCUCAAUGCAUACUUCACCAUACCCAGA
rnacentral:lncRNA from 1 species